UACGAAGGGGGCUAGCGUUGCUCGGAAUUACUGGGCGUAAAGCGCACGUAGGCGGCUUUCUAAGUCAGGGGUGAAAUCCUGGAGCUCAACUCCAGAACUGCCUUUGAUACUGGAAAGCUUGAGUUCGAGAGAGGUGAGUGGAACUGCGAGUGUAGAGGUGAAAUUCGUAGAUAUUCGCAAGAACACCAGUGGCGAAGGCGGCUCACUGGCUCGAUACUGACGCUGAGGUGCGAAAGCGUGGGGAGCAAACAGG
rnacentral:rRNA from 1 species